rnacentral:rRNA from 1 species
UUGGCCACCGGCGAUCCGCCGUCGUUAAUUGAAUGACUCGGCGGGCAGCCUCCGGGAAACCAGAGUGUUUGGGUUCCGGGGGAAGUAUGGUUGCAAAGCUGAAACUUAAAGGAAUUGACGGAAGGGCACCACCAGGAGUGGAGCCUGCGGCUUAAUUUGACUCAACACGGGAAAUCUCACCAGGCCCGGACACCGGAAGGAUUGACAGAUUGAGAGCUCUUUCUUGAUUCGGUGGGUGGUGGUGCAUGGCCGUUCUUAGUUGGUGGAGCGAUUUGUCUGGUUAAUUCCGAUAACGAACGAGACUCUGGCCUACUAACUAGACGGGGGAUCCCUUGUGGGUCCUCCGCUGCUUCUUAGAGGGACGGGCGGCGUUUAGCCGCACGAAACAGAGCAAUAACAGGUCUGUGAUGCCCUUAGAUGUCCGGGGCUGCACGCGCGCUACACUGAAGUGAUCAGCGUGCAAUUUACGUUUGGUGAUCUGUCAAGAUUGCCCAACCCAUUGAACCUUCUUCGUGAUUGGGAUAGGGGAUUGUAAUUAUUCCCCUUGAACGAGGAAUUCCCAGUAAGCGCAAGUCAUAAGCUUGCGUUGAUUACGUCCCUGCCCUUUGUACACACCGCCCGUCGCUACUACUGAUUGAAUGAAUUAGUGAGGUCUUCGGACUGGCCUGUGCUGGCUGUUUCGGCAGCUGCACAUGGCUCGGGAAGAUGCCCAAACUUGUUCAUUUAGAAGAAGUAAAAGUCGUAACAAGGUUUUCGUAGGUGAACCUGCGGAAGAUCA